AGCCAAGACAAAACUCUGAGUUUUGGAUGCCGAGGUGGAAAUCCACAACACCAUCUCUUAGGUUAUCUGGUCAUCUGAAAGAUAAUCGAAGAGAUGGUGUUGUGGAUUUCCACCUCGGCAUCCGAAACUCAGCGUUUUAUCUUGGCUACCGAAUAAUUGUCACAUAUUAUUUUACAGAUAAAUAUUUUCUAUUUACAUAAUAUUGUGGUCUCUUUCUUUCUUUUGUUAUCUUACCAUUUUUACCAAUAUAUAUAUAUAUAUAUAUAUAUAUAUAAAUAGAAUUCAUGAGAUUCUUUAUUCAAAUCCACUGCAAUUGUUUUGACUCACAGGUUAGAUUGUAUCUCCUCAGGCAAUUUUUUAAACAAGUUUCUUGCUCUUUCUCCUGACCAUUUUACUUAGCUCUAUAACAAUAUAUAUCUAGGCAGCUGCUGCAUUCUAGCAGUUUCUGUAAGAGACUCUACCUGAGUGUAAUUUAGCUUUAAAUAUGCAAACAUGGAAUUUUUCCUGUUAUGAAUAGGUUUUUAGUUUGCUAACAACAUAUAUAUUGAUGUAGUCAAUCUUUCAAUAAUUUGUAUCUAUUUAGGAGAUUUUUGGAGGUUAUUUGUUUAAUAUCCCAUAUCUAGCUGGAUCUGAGACUACCAAAACUGUCUUGGCUACAACAAUUAUUGCAGUAAUCCUUAUCAAACUGCCACACUGACCAACAACUCCAUAACCAGUCCCUAAUUACUAAAGUUGAUAGAAUGUUCCUUGCUGAUAAGAAGCAUUUGGGAAGAGAAUCAGCUGUAAUUUCAGCAUAUAGUUACAGCCAACCAACUGCUGACUAACAGCAAGAAGGCAAGAAAUUAGAUGAAAUUAUGUGGUGGUUAGAAACUAGAAUAUCCCAACAGUUGUCUUGGAAUUGAGGUUGUAGCAAAAAACUCAGAGUAUACAGUAUUAGUUUAGAAUGAAUGAACGCACAAACACACACACAUUCAUUCAUAUGUACAUAGAUAUUUUGUGAUAGGUGAGGAGGAACAAUAAGCUUGAUAUAAUGUUUUACUGUGGCAUAUUUCCCUAUAACCAUAUGCCACAAUCUGAACAGAUUCACUAUUGAUAUGUGAUAGCAUUCUAUUUCCCUACAUGUAUGUAUGAACACACACACACGUGUGUUUAUGUAUGAAUAUAUGUAUACAUGUAAAUAAAACUUUCAAUUAUUCAUGUGUAUAUAAAUAUCUAUAUCUACCUAUAUACAUGUUUAUAUCUAUAUAUACACAUACAUAUAUUUAUGUAUAUAUGUUAAAAUAUAAACUAUAAGGGGAAGAGACAAAAUUUUUACAUGGAUUCACUCAUACACACUUAAACUUAUGUAUCCACACUUCAGUAUAUACACACACUCAGAAUAAUUUUACAUUUGAAUUUACAUUCUUAUAUUUUACCAUUUUUCAAACAAGAAAGUUAGUUUAACAUUAUUUGCUGGGGUUGUGGCAACUUGACUGAAAUGAUACUACCAGACUAAAUAUUUUUACUGUAUUUUGUUGCAUCAAAGUUCAAAUCUCCUGAGACUGACUUUACUUUUCAUCCUUCUGAGGAUGUAGAGCAUAUUAUUUAAAACUAUUUAACUAAUUGUUUUCUCAAACAAUUGGCUUCAUAGAGUUAAAUAAAACAGUAAUAUAAUUUGAUAUAUGGGCAUAUAACGUUGUGAUCUUGAAGGAAAAUGUUUUAUUUUGUUUGUUUGUUUUUAAAGAGUUUUAAGUUAAAAUAAACAAUAAGUUUUUAAAAUUUAUAAAUAAAUAAAAGCAUUGUUAUUCUUUGUGAUGUGGUCAAAAUUUUAGUCAGUUGAUUGUAAAUCUAUAUCAGACAAUUACUUUUUGAUUCAAAAAGCUUCAUAUUUAGGAAGUGAUGUUCAACCUCACAAUGUUGCAAAUAUAAGAAAUGUUUUUUUUAUAAGAUCAUAAAUGUCAGAACAGGGACAAAAUGCUCCUUUAGUAUUUUCAGCAACAUCAUUUCCAUUAUAAACAUUCAGACUUGGUCUCAUUAUCCAUUCCUCCUUAACUCGUUAACCCAUUAGCAUUUAAACUGGCAAAAUAUUCUACUUGUUUCAUGUUUAAAAAGACUAGCUCUGGCCUCUCACACCUACUGUACAAUGUUAUUCUGAAAAAAAAAAAUCACAUUAUUGAAGUCUUGAAGCUCUAUCACAACUAUACUACAAUGUCAUUCUAAAAACAAACAAACAAUUACAUCAUCAAAGUCUUGAAGCUAUGAGAUAAUGCAUAAUUAAUUCAAAACAAUGUGAAUAAGCAAUACAUUUGACAGUCAAAUGUUAAAAAGGGUUCAAAUCUCAUAAGGCUUAACUUUACAUUACAUUCUUCUAUGGUCAAUUGAAAAUAAAUCAGAAAUAUACAGCAUUGGAUGCAAUCUGUUAUACAUAUAUCUUUUAAAAGUCGGUCAUAUGUUCAAGUAAGAGAGCAAUAUUUUAAUUUGCACAAGUGGUAAACAAAGAUAAUUGCUUAGCAUUUAGUUUAUCAGCAGUAAAAUACUAUAGUUCAAUUAUUUCACUAUUGUAUGUGUGAAUGUGUAUAUGUAUGUACAAUAAUCCCUUGCCAUAUCAUAGAUUCUUUAAUAUAUCGAAGGUUUCUGCAGCCAAUAGGUAUUUAUACUUUUUUAGAUUUUAAUUAUUUCUGUUAUAAUAAGCUUUUUCU